rnacentral:rRNA from 1 species
UACGUAGGGUGCGAGCGUUAAUCGGAAUUACUGGGCGUAAAGCGUGCGCAGGCGGUGAUGUAAGACCGAUGUGAAAUCCCCGGGCUUAACCUGGGAACUGCAUUGGUGACUGCAUUGCUGGAGUAUGGCAGAGGGGGGUGGAAUUCCACGUGUAGCAGUGAAAUGCGUAGAGAUGUGGAGGAACACCAAUGGCGAAGGCAGCCUUCUGGGCCAACACUGACGCUCAUGCACGAAAGCGUGGGGAGCAAACAGG